GCCACGCUCAAGUUCAACCCCGACGGGAAAAAGAAAGGAGCAUGGAGCAAGUUGUUUGGUUCUACCACCUCUGCAACGAGCUCUUCCACAUCAGGCUCAUCGCCUGUGCUUUUGGGUGGUGGGGAGUUAGCGAAGUACCUCAACAGCGAUAAAGUCAACUUCAAUGAAGAGGAAGAGGAAGACUUCGACAUAAUUCAGUGGUGGCAUGAACACAAGCUUACAUAUCCGGUGCUUUCCAUAUUAGCAUGGGAUGUAUUAUCAGUACCCGUCUCAUCGACAUCAUCGGAGUCUGCUUUUAGCCUAGCUGGAAGAAUACUUGAGGAAAGAAGAACGAGUUUGACCCCGGAUAUGGUGAGAACACUC
rnacentral:rRNA from 1 species